CAGCCGCCGCGGGAAAACGGAGGGUGCAAGCGUUAAUCGGAAUUACUGGGCGUAAAGCGCACGCAGGCGGUUUGUUAAGUCAGAUGUGAAAUCCCCGAGCUUAACUUGGGAACUGCAUUUGAAACUGGCAAGCUAGAGUCUUGUAGAGGGGGGUAGAAUUCCAGGUGUAGCGGUGAAAUGCGUAGAGAUCUGGAGGAAUACCGGUGGCGAAGGCGGCCCCCUGGACAAAGACUGACGCUCAGGUGCGAAAGCGUGGGGAGCAAACAGGAUUAGAUACCCCAGUAGUCCCUGUCUCUUAUAA
rnacentral:rRNA from 1 species